rnacentral:rRNA from 1 species
GACGAACGCUGGCGGCGUGCUUAACACAUGCAAGUCGAACGAGGUCCAGCCGAGCUUUCGGGCAAAGCGAAGACCUAGUGGCGAACGGGUGCGUAACACGUGAGGAACCUGCCCCGGACUUGGGAAUAACAGUCGGAAACGGCUGCUAAUACCGAAUACCUUCGUAGCGUCGCAUGGCGCAUCGAAGAAAGCUUUUGCGGUCUGGGAGGGCCUCGCGGCCUAUCAGCUAGUUGGCGAGGUAAUGGCUCACCAAGGCAUCGACGGGUAGCUGGUCUGAGAGGAUGAUCAGCCACACUGGGACUGAGACACGGCCCAGACACCUACGGGUGGCAG